rnacentral:rRNA from 1 species
UAGUCCACGCCGUAAACGAUGUCUGCUAGCCGUUGGCGACUUUAUGUUGCUAGUGGCGAAGCUAACGCGAUAAGCAGACCGCCUGGGGAGUACGGCCGCAAGGUUAAAACUCAAAUGAAUUGACGGGGGCCCGCACAAGCGGUGGAGCAUGUGGUUUAAUUCGAUGCAACGCGAAGAACCUUACCAGGCCUUGACAUCCCGAGAAGUCGCUAGAGAUAGCUUCGUGCCUUCGGGCACUCGGUGACAGGUGCUGCAUGGCUGUCGUCAGCUCGUGUCGUGAGAUGUUGGGUUAAGUCCCGUAACGAGCGCAACCCUUGUCCUUAGUUGCCAGCAAUUCGGUUGGGGACUCUAAGGAGACUGCCGGUGACAAACCGGAGGAGGUGGGGACGACGUCAAGUCAUCAUGGCCCUUAUGGGUAGGGCUACACACGUGCUACAAUGGAAAGUACAGAGGGUUGCGAUACCGCGAGGUGGAGCUAAUCUCAGAAAACUUUUCGUAGUCCGGAUUGCACU